UAUGGCCAUAUCACGUUAAAACACAGGUUCCCGUACUAUCAUUGAAGUUAAACAACUUCGGGUCCGGUCAGUACCUACAUGGGUGAUUGCUUGGGAAUAAGAGGUGCUGUAA